UACAGAGGGUGCGAGCGUUCAUCGGAAUUCCUGGGCGUAAAGCGCGCGUAGGCGGCUUUGCAAGUCGGGUGUGAAAUCCCCAGGCUUAACCUGGGAACUGCAUUCGAGACUGCAUUGCUAGAGUAUGGGAGAGGGAAGUGGAAUUUCCGGUGUAGCGGUGAAAUGCGUAGAUAUCGGAAGGAACAUCAGUGGCGAAAGCGACUUCCUGGACCAAUACUGACGCUCAUGUGCGAAAGCGUGGGGAGCAAACAGG
rnacentral:rRNA from 1 species